rnacentral:rRNA from 2 species
CGGGGGGCACACGGGGCGGCGCCUACCAUGCAGUCGAACGAAGGCUUCGGCCUUAGUGGCGCACGGGUGCGUAACGCGUGGGAAUCUGCCCUCAGGUUCGGAAUAACAGCGAGAAAUUGCUGCUAAUACCGGAUGAUAUCGCGAGAUCAAAGAUUUAUCGCCUGAGGAUGAGCCCGCGUAGGAUUAGCUAGUUGGUGUGGUAAAGGCGCACCAAGGCGACGAUCCUUAGCUGGUCUGAGAGGAUGAUCAGCCACACUGGGACUGAGACACGGCCCAGACUCCUACGGGAGGCAGCAGUGGGGAAUAUUGGACAAUGGGCGAAAGCCUGAUCCAGCAAUGCCGCGUGAGUGAUGAAGGCCUUAGGGUUGUAAAGCUCUUUUACCCGGGAUGAUAAUGACAGUACCGGGAGAAUAAGCUCCGGCUAACUCCGUGCCAGCAGCCGCGGUAAUACGGAGGGAGCUAGCGUUAUUCGGAAUUACUGGGCGUAAAGCGCACGUAGGCGGCUUUGUAAGUUAGAGGUGAAAGCCUGGAGCUCAGCUCCAGAAUUGCCUUUAAGACUGCAUCGCUUGAAUCCAGGGAGAGGUGAGUGGGAAUUCC